UUGGAGGGCAAGUCUGGUGCCAGCAGCCGCGGUAAUUCCAGCUCCAAUAGCGUAUAUUAAAGUUGUUGCAGUUAAAAAGCUCGUAGUUGAAUUUCGGGAUUCAUCCGUUGGUCGGGCCUCACGGUCCGUACUGGUGUGAUGGGUUCCUACCUUCUGAAUAACCGGCAUGCCAUUAAUUUGGUGCGCCGGGGAAGCAGAACUAUUACCUUGAAAAAAUUAGAGUGCUUAAAGCAGGCAAGUGCCUGAAUAGGUUAGCAUGGAAUAAUAAAAUAGGACGGCAUGGUUCUAUUUUGUUGGUUUCUAGGAUCACCGUAAUGAUUAAUAGGGAUAGUUGGGGGCAUUAGUAUUCAAUUGUCAGAGGUGAAAUUCUUGGAUUUAUUGAAGACUAACUUCCGCGAAAGCAUUUGCCAAGGAUGUUUUCAUUAAUCAAGAACGAAAGUUAGGGGAUCGAAGACGGUCAGAUACCGUCGUAGUCUUAACCAUAAACUAUGCCGACUAGGGAUCGGACGAUGUUAAUUUUUUAAUGACUCGUUCGGCGCCUUACGGGAAAC
rnacentral:rRNA from 1 species